rnacentral:rRNA from 1 species
UACGUAGGCAGCGAGCGUUGUUCGGAAUUACUGGGCGUAAAGAGUGUGUAGGCGGUGUUCCCAGUCUGUUGUGAAAUCUCCCGGCUUAACUGGGAGGGUGCAGCGGAAACUAGAAUGCUAGAGGGUGGGAGAGGUAAGCGGAAUUCCUGGUGUAGCGGUGAAAUGCGUAGAUAUCAGGAGGAACACCUGUGGUGUAGACAGCUUACUGGACCACUUCUGACGCUGAGGCGCGAAAGCGUGGGGAGCAAACGGG